AACGAACGCUGGCGGCGUGGCUAAGGCAUGCAAGUCGAACGGACAUGGCUUGAGGGCAACUGAUGGUCAUGUUAGUGGCGAACGGGUGAGGAAUACAUGGAUAACGUGCCCCGGACACAGGGAUAGCGUUGCGAAAGUGACGGUAAUACCUGAUGACCCCGUAGGACCGCAUGGUCCCGCGGGCAAAGCUCCGACGGUCCGGGAGCGAUUCAUGUCCUAUCAGCUAGUUGGUGAGGUAACGGCUCACCAAGGCUACGACGGGUACCGGGCGUGAGAGCGCGACCCGGCACAUCGGAACUGAGACACGGUCCGGACACCUACGGGUGGCUGCAGCAACGAAUAUUCCGCAAUGGACGAAAGUCUGACGGAGCGACGCCGCGUGCAGGAUGAAGUCCCUCGGGAUGUAAACUGCUGUCAGGGGUUAGGAACUUUGACCAGCCCCAGAGGAAGCCACGGCUAACUCCGUGCCAGCAGCCGCGGUAAUACGGAGGUGGCG
rnacentral:rRNA from 1 species